UCGCGCUAUGAGAUGAGCCUGCGUUAGAUUAGCUAGUUGGUGGGGUAAAGGCCUACCAAGGCGACGAUCUAUAGCUGGUCUGAGAGGACGAUCAGCCACACUGGGACUGAGACACGGCCCAGACUCCUACGGGAGGCAGCAGUGGGGAAUAUUGGACAAUGGGCGAAAGCCUGAUCCAGCAAUACCGCGUGUGUGAAGAAGGCCUUCGGGUUGUAAAGCACUUUCAAUUGGGAGGAAAACCUACCGGUCAAUACCCGGUAGCUUGACAUUACCUUUAGAAGAAGCACCGGCUAACUC
rnacentral:rRNA from 1 species